GAGUUGUUGAAGCGAGCAGGAAGAUGCUGACAGGAAGGAUGGCAGCAGCCUCCCCCCCCACCUUCAUUUGUUUCACGUCUUCCAGCGUCAAUUUUUCUCGCCAGUGUGUUUCCACCCCGAUGCAGUGAAAAACGAAUAGAGAAGGAGAAAAGUUUUCAUGUUCAGACUACAAUCAGAAAGAAGAAGAGCUUCAAAUGUAAUUGCUGAAAUCGCUGUUCAAGAUAAGUAUCGAUUUUCAUUAGAAUUAAUUGAUGACGCCGAUAAAAGAUGCACAAUAAAAACCAAAGGUAGCAGCAGAUGUUGGUUGUCCGGGUGCACAUUCAUCAUACCGUAGCUACCUAUGGAAGAAUGUGUUUUUUUUCCACAAUGUAAUCAUCGUUCAUACAUCUGAAUCCUCAAUUGAUCUAAAUCACUUAAAAAGAAAAAGGCGAUAAUGAACUGCAGCUGCACGACGGCGAACUCCAGGGGGAAACAUGAGGACAUCAUGGCAGAUAAAGUCCCAACACCGAUAUGAAAACACACACAGCGUCCACUGACUGGUGUGUGUGAGUUGGGGGGUAUCAACCCCCCCCCUCCCAUUUAACAUCAGUGUAAACAAGGCCAACAAAGGCCAGAUUAGAAUAACAGUGCGUCUGCGUGGAGGAAGUCACCAAUUAUUUGGGCAUGCAGCAUUUGCAGCAAGCGGUUCCUUAUUUAGCAUCAGAAGAGUUGAAUGCAACUUCUGCCUGCAGCAUACAGACACACACACACACACACGCGCGCGCACACACACAGACACACGCACACGCACACACACACGAAUCACAACUCCCUAAUAAACCCAGCAGCCUUAAAUAAUUUAUCAAGUAUGGAUUUUGCUUAAAAUAAAUGACUUUGUUUUCAAAGGGUGCUUUCACUUAUCAUACGUUAAUGAUGAGAGGAAUAAAUAACCUGAAAAAAACUUUGAAAACAAAGAAACGGAAUGAAGGAAAAACAAUAGAACAAUUUUUUACAAUCUUCAAAAACAACGAUUGUUUUAUGCUUUUCUGUCUAUGAUCUGAAAAUGUGUUUCAAGGUUGUAAGGUUGAUCAUUUAAUCACAAAACACACUGUGUCUCUCUUACACACACACACACACACACACACACACACACACAGAUACUCAGUUUAUGGCUCUCUUCUUCAUUUAUGUCUGCAGCUGAUUGAUUUAAUUAGUUUAACAUAUAUAUGCAUAAUUAAUGCCAAAUAUUACCAAUUCUAAAUAUAUCCCAACACACCUUGAGUGCACAAUUAUUUUUCAGACGCCCUGAAAACAUACAUUCUAUCAGCAUUUAAAAAAAUAAUUGUUCCCUUCUAUUCUUCAUUAAAUAUUCAUAUUUUACUGAAACACAUCUGAGAAAAAUACAAUAUUUACAUGUGCUUGUGUUUGGGGCUGUUUUGACGAUGAUGAUAUAUAAAAAAAUAUAUAUAUAUAUAUAUAUAUAUAUAUAUAUAUAUAUAUAUAUAUAUAUAUAUAUAUAUAUAUAUAUAUAUAUAUAUAAAAUAAACCCUGAUCACAGCAGAGGGCAUUUAGUAUGGUUUUAUGGAUGGAAUAAAGAAAUAGGAUUACAGAAUGCAUUGGUUCAUCUUCUGCCCUCCUGUUGUGCAUGUAAUAGUGGAAUGUAUAUAUUCCACAGGACAACCUUUGAGCUCUGUGUUGCGAUGUUUUAGCGCUUCAUGCUCGCUGCAGACUGUGGGGUCAGUGACAACUACAACUUAAAACCACUUGUGACGUCCCAUUUCCUCUUUCCUAUUUCAUGUUGCACAGCAUCUCCCCCAACACCACCGUGUUAUAGGCUUACACAGUUAAUUGUCAAUAAAACAUUUUUCAUGAAAUAAAAAUGUGAGGCAAAGUAUCCAAAUCAGACUGUGUAAUCAGAAAAGCUGUCAGUCAAAUUUGUGGUUAUUUUUGUUUUAGUUUGACAAAAAAAAAAAAGAGAAGGUGCACUCAGGAACUUAACCUCCUUUCCUCACUGUCUUCUAUCUUGCCCCAAAAAAUGGGAGUAAAUUCAUCCGGGCGCGCUUUGUGGCGAGGAUAAGCACCGUGGUUAAGGUUCUGCUGAUUUUCAUGUAAUGACUGGCAGCCGUAACACCUGGCGCUGUGAAAUCCAGAAAUUAGCACACUCCGGGGAAACAAAUUGCUUUGUUGAUGCAGAACUUUAGAGAGAAAGGGGGGGUUUUGUGGAUUCACGCUUUAUUUUUACAACUUUUGGAGUUGCAGUGUAGUAACACAUAUAACUUGUUUUUAAAGCUGCUGUUUUCUUUGUUCCACAAAGUAUCAGUUAUCACAAGCUGGUGUCGAUGAAUCCACUUAUUGAGAAUGUGAGAUCUACCCAGGGUGCUGAAGAAAAUAUAGAAAACGCUCUAAAUGUUUUCAUUGUGAUGAUGAAAGGUGAAAAGUAAGUGCUGGAGUUACUAACCAAUCUGAUGUACUUUUAUGCUACAUCUUCUGAAAGGUGUAGUGGCUAAUUUAAAAAUGAAUAUUAUGUGAAUUAAAGAAGUACUACAUAUCCAUUUUAUAUAAGAUGUGUUUUGAAAACGUUCAACGGGAAUAUGCGGCAACUCUUAUGCUAAAAAACAUUGCCUGUAAUACACCUUCACACCUACACAUUCAGCAUUUUACUUUUCUGGGAUUUUAUUUUGUUACUAAAACAUGAUUUAUCUU
ensembl:lncRNA